CAGUAGCUGAGUAGAUAACGCGAUGGCCUUCGAAGCAAAAGGUACUGGGUUCGAAUCCCAGAGUGAA
rnacentral:tRNA from 1 species